UACGUAGGUGGCAAGCGUUGUUCGGAAUUAUUGGGCGUAAAGGGCGCGUAGGCGGUCUUGUAAGUCAGCUGUGAAAGCCCGGGGCUCAACCCCGGAGGGUCGGCUGAUACUGCAGGACUGGAGUACGGAAGAGGCGAGUGGAAUUCCUGGUGUAGCGGUGGAAUGCGCAGAUAUCAGGAGGAACACCGAUAGCGAAGGCAGCUCGCUGGGACGGUACUGACGCUGAGGCGCGAAAGCGUGGGGAGCGAACAGG
rnacentral:rRNA from 1 species